GAUGAACGCUAGCUACAGGCUUAACACAUGCAAGUCGAGGGGAAACGACAUCGAAAGCUUGCUUUUGAUGGGCGUCGACCGGCGCACGGGUGAGUAACGCGUAUCCACCCUGCCCACCACUUGGGGAUAACUUUGCGAAAGUAAGACUAAUACCCAAUGACGUCUCUAGAAGACAUCUGAAAGAGAUUAAAGAUUUAUCGGUGAUGGAUGGGGAUGCGUCUGAUUAGCUUGUUGGCGGGGUAACGGCCCACCAAGGCGACGAUCAGUAGGGGUUCUGAGAGGAAGGUCCCCCACAUUGGAACUGAGACACGGUCCAAACACCUACGGGAGGCAGCAGUGAGGAAUGUUGGUGAAUGGACGAGUGUCUGAACCAGCCAAGUAGCGUGCAGGAUGACGGCCCUAUGGGUUGUAAACUGCUUUUAUAAGGGAAUAAAGUGAGAGUCGUGACUCGUUUUGCAUGUACCUUAUGAAUAAGGACCGGCUAAUUCCGUGCCAGCCGCCGCCGUAA
rnacentral:rRNA from 1 species